UUGAAAGGGAAACGAUUGAAGUCAGUCGUACCGACGGAGGAUCAACCUUUGAAAGCGGGUCGAGGUAUUCGAGGAGUUUAAAAGCCCUCUUGCGCUCACGUACUUCGUUUUCUUUGGUGCACUUCUUCGUAUGGUAGGUUAACAUCAAUUUUGGACGUUACAAAAUGAUCGGGGGAAUGUAGCUUCGAUUUUUUCGAAGUGUUAUAGACCUUGAUAGAUGUGACGACCGGGAUUGAGGAUUGCAACGAAUGCUUUCGGGCUAUCCGUCUGACCUCUGGUGGUUGCUUUAGGGUCGAAAGCGUGCUUACGACUUUAAAGUUGGCUAUCAAAAGGCUAGAACGUGAUUAAAUUCGUUAAGGAUGUUGACGUA
rnacentral:rRNA from 1 species